AGAAUGCCCGCCGUGUCAGGUGCUGCGCGCGGUUUCAACCAAGCGCAGUUAAACGGGAAAGCGGUGCGCCUCGCCAGAGGCAACGCCGCUGCUGCCCCCGCAACGGUAAGCAAGUGCGGGCGUAUCACAAGGCCACUGGGGAAACCUGGGAAGGCGAUACGUCAAGACUUGCGAGCCCGGAUACCGGCCUCACACACCUAGCGGAA
rnacentral:ncRNA from 1 species